rnacentral:rRNA from 1 species
CCUACGGGAGGCAGCAGUGAGGAAUAUUGGUCAAUGGACGAGAGUCUGAACCAGCCAAGUAGCGUGAAGGAUGACUGCCCUACGGGUUGUACACCUCUUUUAUAUGGGAAUAAAAUGUUCCACGUGUGGGGUUUUGUAUGUAACACAUGAAUAAGGAUCGGCUAACUCCGUGCCAGCAGCCGCGGUAAUACGGAGGAUCCGAGCGUUAACCGGAUUUAUUGGGGUUAAAGGGAGGGUCGGUGGAUUGUUAAGUCAGUUGUGAAAGUUUGGGGCUCAACCGUAAAAUUGCAGUUGAAACUGGCAGUCUUGAGUACAGGAGAAGUAGGCGGAAUUCGUGGUGUAGCGGUGAAAUGCUUAGAUAUCACGCAGAACUCCGAUUGCGAAGGCAGUUCACUGGACUGCAACUGACGCUGAGGCACGAAAGUGUGGGUAUCGAACAGGAUUAGAUACCCGAGUAGUC